rnacentral:miRNA from 1 species
CCUGGACACCGCUCAGCCGGCCG